UAACACAUGCAAGUCGAACGAGAAAGUUCCCUUCGGGGAGCGAGUACAGUGGCAGACGGGUGAGUAACACGUGGGUAACCUGCCCGACGGUGGGGGAUAACCCUUCGAAAGAGGGGCUAAUACCGCAUAACAUCGAGAGAGCCUCGGCUUUCUCGAUCAAAGCUUGCCUCUUCUUGAAAGCAAGCACCGACGGAGUGGACCCGCGCCCCAUUAGCUUGUUUGGUGAGGUAGCGGCUCACCAAGGCUACGAUGGGUAGCCGGCCUGAGAGGGUGAUCGGCCACACUGGAACUGAGACAACGGUCCAGACUCCUACGGGAGGCAGCAGUGAGGAAUUUUGCGCAAAUUGGGCGAAAGCCUUGACGCANGCGACGCCCGCGUGGGAGGACGAAGGUCUCCGGA
rnacentral:rRNA from 1 species